GGGAGCAUAUUUCAGCAAAGAAAAAUUACAAAAUGCAGACUUAUAGAGCAAUAUUUUAUUCACUAUUCCCUCGAAAUCAAGUUGUCCGCAAGGGCACGUGGGUUCGAAUCCCACCGCUUCCGCCA
rnacentral:tRNA from 1 species